GGUGAGAGUGUUGCCAGCGGCGUGAGUAAUACAGGGGUGUGGAGCGUUAAUCGGAGUUACUUGGGGUAAAGCGCGCUUAGGUGGCUAAUUAAGGCAAAUGUGAAAUCCCCGAGCUUAACUUUGGUAUUGCAUUCGGUACUGGUUGGCUAGAGUAUGGGAUAGGAUGGUAGAAUUCCAGGUGUAGCGGUGAAAUGCGUAGAGAUCUGGAGGAAUACCGAUGGCGAAGGCAGCCAUCUGGCCUAAUACUGACACUGAGGUGCGAAAGCAUGGGGAGCAAACAGGAUUAGAUACCCGGUAGUC
rnacentral:rRNA from 1 species